rnacentral:sRNA from 1 species
GAAGGAAGAUGGCGGAUCUGGAGGAGCAGUUGUCUGAUGAAGAGAAGAUGGUAAUUAUAAAACUGAAGUAGCACUACCAAUUGCUUCUGACUUCCCGUAAUAAACACAUCUUGAAGAGGUGACAUAGGCUGAGGGAACCCAGUCACUUCCACCUGUGGUACUUCACCAUGGAGCGUGUCUUUGCUUGAGAAACGUACAUUCUGUACCAUUAAUGCAAAGAGUGACACAGUCAAGGAUUGCAAGGCAGAAAGAUACAUGUGAAGCUUAUGUUCAUCCAGCCCUCCUUCCCUUUUUCUCUUUCCCUGAUAAGUUUUUCAGUCUUAUUCAGCAAUGUAGGUGUAAGAUUGUACAUUUCCAAAUUCUAUAUUCCAAGUAUCAUAGGCCAUUAAAAGUACUAGAUGUUUUGCACUCACUGCUUUUUCUGAGAUAUCACUCAAGGCCAAAGGCAACAAUUCAAAAACCUGCUGAUACUUCCCUGGUUCAUCAGGGUAUCCCAUAAUGAUACCAAGGCUUUUGAUCACAGCUUCUCAUAUCAAAUAUGCCUUACCUUCCAUUUAUGGAGGACCAGGGCAUUAGGAACUUCUUGAGGAAAGUAAGGCACCACUACUCCACAGGAUUUAGCUAC